rnacentral:lncRNA from 1 species
AGAAAAUGAGAAAGAAGCCCGGUCCAAAGAAGAUGUCUGAGUCUGACAUUUAAAGAAUAAACAAAAGUACUGGACAAAAAGCCCACUCCAAACUCUCUCUCUCUUCUGUUUGUGUUCUCUAUCCACAUUCGUUAUCUAGUGAGUGUGGUGGCACUUCUGGUGUUGCUCAACAAUGGCGUCCGUUGCAGUUAUGGCUACAAGCAGCGACAGCAGGUGGUCUAUGGCUUCCUUGCGCUCUGCUUUGCCCUCUCAUUCUCCUCCUGUUUCCUCUUCAUUGCGCUUCCCUGUAUUGCCAUCUUCACCGUCUUCUUCUUCAACGAAACUCCGAAUUUCUCGAACCAAACCCAAAUCCCUUCUCACCUCUUUCACCGGCCUCGCUCCUCUUAACCCCAUCUUCCUCUCCGCUCCUUCUUCA